AUGGAUUGGUGCCUUCGGGAACUGUGAGACAGGUGCUGCAUGGCUGUCGUCAGCUCGUGUUGUGAAAUGUUGGGUUAAGUCCCGCAACGAGCGCAACCCUUAUCCUUUGUUGCCAGCGGUCCGGCCGGGAACUCAAAGGAGACUGCCAGUGAUAAACUGGAGGAAGGUGGGGAUGACGUCAAGUCAUCAUGGCCCUUACGACCAGGGCUACACACGUGCUACAAUGGCGCAUACAAAGAGAAGCGACCUCGCGAGAGCAAGCGGACCUCAUAAAGUGCGUCGUAGUCCGGAUUGGAGUCUGCAACUCGACUCCAUGAAGUCGGAAUCGCUAGUAAUCGUGGAUCAGAAUGCCACGGUGAAUACGUUCCCGGGCCUUGUACACACCGCCUGUCACACCAUAGGAGUGGGUUGCAAAAGAAGUAGGUAGCUUAACCUUCGGGAGGGCGCUUACCACUUUGUGAUUCAUGACUGGGGUGAAGUCGUAACAAGGUAACCGUAGGGGAACCUGCGGCUGGAUCACCUC
rnacentral:rRNA from 1 species